UACGGGGGAGGUAAGCGUUGUUCGGAUUUACUGGGCGUAAAGGGCGUGUAGGCGGCCGCGUAAGUCGGGUGUGAAAUCCCAUGGCUCAACUGUGGAAGUGCAUUCGCAACUGUGCGGCUAGAGCACGGAAGGGGAGAGUGGAAUUCCCGGUGUAAGGGUGAAAUCUGUAGAUAUCGGGAGGAACACCAGUGGCGAAGGCGGCUCUCUGGUCCGUUUCUGACGCUGAGGCGCGAAAGCUGGGGGAGCAAACGGG
rnacentral:rRNA from 1 species